GGACUUACCGCUGGUGUACCAGUUGUUCUGCCAAGAGCAUCGCUGGGUAGCUAUGUAGGGAAGGGAUAAACGCUGAAAGCAUCUAAGUGUGAAGCCCACCUCAAGAUGAGAUUUCCCAUGAUUUUAUAUCAGUAAGAGCCCUGAGAGAUGAUCAGGUUGAUAGGUUAGAAGUGGAAGUGUGGUGACACAUGUAGCGGACUAAUACUAAUAGCUCGAGGACUU
rnacentral:rRNA from 1 species